UGAUAAUGUAUCAGAUGAGCAAAAAGAUAAAGAAAGGUAAAAAUUAGUUUUGAUUUAUCUUUUGUAAUAAAAGAGAAUGUAAAGUAAAAUAUAGUGUAUUCUUCUUUAUAGUGAUGCAAAGCAAGAUGAUGAAAAAGAGGUCAAAACAAGGGAAGACAAAAAAGAUGAAAACAACAUGAGAUCGCCAAUGAGAUCGCCUAGCAAUAUGGAUGAUGCAAUAAAAUCUGAAUGGAGAGAAAUUGUGCAAAGUGCAGUACAAGCUUUCUUAGAAAUAGAAGACUGUGAUAUAUAUACACCUUCUCCAAUCAAGAAGACACAAGAACCUGUGGUACCAUCAAUUCCAUCAUUCUCCCUAAUGAUACAUGAGGAAAACAAAAUAGGGGAAGAAAAAAAGGUGAUAGAUGAGAAAAAUAAAAUAGGGGAAGAAGAAAAGGUGAUAGAGGAUAAUAAGUUAACAGAAGUAGAUAAGGAUAAGAUAUACUUUUGGGCAAC